CCUACGGGUGGCAGCAGUGAGGAAUAUUGGUCAAUGGGCGGAAGCCUGAACCAGCCAAGUCGCGUGAGGGAUUAAGGCCCUGCGGGUCGUAAACCUCUUUUGCCGGGGAGCAGAGGUCCGGACGUGUCCGGGCCGGGAGAGUACCCGGAGAAAAAGCAUCGGCUAACUCCGUGCCAGCAGCCGGGGUAAUACGGAGGAUGCGAGCGUUAGCCGGAUUUAUUGGGUUUAAAGGGUGCGUAGGCGGGCCUUUAAGCCGGCGGUCAAAUGUCGGGGCUCAACCCCGGCCUGCCGUCGGAACUGGGUGCCUUGAGUGGGCGAGAAGUAUGCGGAAUGCGUGGUGUAGCGGUGAAAUGCAUAGAUAUCGCGCAGAACCCCGAUUGCGAAGGCAGCAUACCGGCGCCAUACUGACGCUGAGGCACGAAAGUGCGGGUAUCGAACAGGAUUAGAUACCCGGGUAGUC
rnacentral:rRNA from 1 species